rnacentral:rRNA from 1 species
AUUGAACGCUGGCGGCAGGCCUAACAAAUGCAAGUCGAGCGGAGCGGCGGACGGGUGAGUAAUGCCUAGGAAUCUGCCUGGUAGUGGGGGAUAACGUCCGGAAACGGGCGCUAAUACCGCAUACUAUCAGAUGAGCCUAGGUCGGAUUAGUUAGUUGGUGGGGUAAAGGCCUACCAAGGCGACGAUCCGUAACUGGCCUGAGAGGAUGAUCAGUCACACGGGACCUUAGACACGUUCCAGACUCCUCCGGUAGGCAUCAGUGGGGAAUAUUGGACAAUGGGCGACAGCCUGAUCCAGCCAUGCCGCGUGUGUGAAGAAGGUCUUCGGAUUGUAAAGCACUUUAAGUUGGGAGGCGUUACCAACAGAAUGGGCACCGGCUAACUUCGUGCCAGCAGCCGCGGUAAUAC